GCCAGGUGGAAGGAAUACGGCCAUGCUGGGAGCCGGGACUCGGAAUUAAAACUCAACCAAGGAUUAAAUACGGAAAAGAGAAGUGGUACAAAUUUUCUCACGUUUCACAACCUCUUGAUAAUACCUGUGGUGUUGCCAGGAAGCAUUCAGUGGAAUCAAAGUUAAGUCGAAAAGACAGCUUUUUCCCGCCAUCUUUAACAUUGGAUGUUGGUCGCCUAAGUUUGCAGGACGUUACUCCAGUAAAAAGAAUGUACUUGCUGAGUUCAUGCCAGCGCAGCG
rnacentral:lncRNA from 1 species